UCCUCAGCACCACAUCCACGCUUUGACCCAUCGGUACCGACUUCAGCAUCUCCACCACUUCUUUGUGAGAGCGACCCAGCACACAGGUGUCGUUGAUGUAGACCAGGAUGUCCGCUUCGGGGAAGCAAAGUCUACAGUACGGCUCCCCUGAAUCACUGUACGCCAGCUCCCAGUUUUCCGGCAGCGGACCUCCCACUCCUGCUCUUCCCCUCCCUACUCCUCUUCCCCCUCCUCCAUUCUCCAUUCCUAUUGUGGACUCCCAUGACUGGCUGAGAGGCAGGGUUGUGGGAGGGGCUCCAGCUGAUCCUGCUGGUAGAGAAUCUCGUCAGCGUGCAAACACACCUGUGCAGCUUUCUCCAGGUUACUCAGAGACUUGCUCCUUGUCCUGAAGUUCCUCAGCAGGUUUCGAUGUUCCUGCAGAGCUCCGGACUCCUCCAGAGAGAAAAACUCCUCGAUGGAGACAAAGUUGUAGUCCACGCCUGAAAUCUCUCCAUCUCGAGGCUGCCUGGUCGUACCUUCAGGGAGGACAGAGUCAUGUGAUCACUGGGUGUCAGUACGCUGGACAAGUGUUGUGUUGUUGGAGAAAGUGAAUCAGAAGAUACGAGGGGCACGGCGCGCAGGUACAGGUUCUCCCUGAUGAGCUGCUGCAGCUGACUGUCCAUGGAGCCCGGCGUGAAACACUUACUGAGGUGAUGUUUCCAGCUCCUUUAUCUCACCUGACGCCUGGAAUGCUGUCUGUGGUCUUCAGCAUGAUCACAAUGUGUUAUUUGUGUAUUUUGACUGGUUUACAAUGACAGGACAGUAAGCAUUAUCAGUGUAUAUUCCAAUAAAAGCAUCUAGUUUUUACUCCAACAUUGAUGAGGAUUUUCUUUUGGCUCUUUUGAACCAACAGGUUGGAAAGUCUCCUGAAACUAAGCGCAAUUGAAAAUCAAUUCCUUUCUUUUCUUCUGUGAUUAUUAUGUGCAAAGACUAGCCAUAAGAGGAGUCUUUUAGGUUCUCCUGAUGAGACAAUGUAAUUGUUUUACUUUUCUACUGGUAAAAUCUGAAGGAUUAUUCAUGCCAUAACACUGUCAU